rnacentral:rRNA from 1 species
UGUGGCCUUGAGCCGUGGCUUUCGGAGCUAACGCGUUAAGUAGACCGCCUGGGGAGUACGGUCGCAAGAUUAAAACUCAAAUGAAUUGACGGGGGCCCGCACAAGCGGUGGAGCAUGUGGUUUAAUUCGAUGCAACGCGAAGAACCUUACCUACUCUUGACAUCCAGAGAACUUAGCAGAGAUGCUUUGGUGCCUUCGGGAACUCUGAGACAGGUGCUGCAUGGCUGUCGUCAGCUCGUGUCGUGAGAUGUU